GGCGGAUGCAGAAGCAGCUCUUAAUUCAGACUCUACAAUCAGGGCAAAUAGAUGAGAUGUAGCACCAAUCCCUUCCAAUGGAAUAACCGCAUAGCUAAUAGAACCAUCCAAAGGCAUCAGAAGUGUAGUCCAAGUAUCCAACAAGAUAUCACGUGCUACCCAGCUCCACGUCUCCUCUUCAGUGUGGCUUGCCAUAAGGUCUUUAAUGACCUCACACAUCAGGGCGGACAACAAACUAAGAGUGCCAUAAGGCCUUAUAGACUUCAGCAGUUCAUCAAAUACUAGCACUGUGGUUACAGUAGCCAUGUAUAGUAAGGCUCGGCAUCCGUCAAGGAAUUCACUUUCACUUUUUCCGUUCACUAUUGCUGUUGAAACAACAUCAGGGGGGUCUAUCCAUGCUAUAAUUCCAGAUAAAAGAUGCAAAAGGUGCUGUUUUUGAGUAUUCCCGUCAUCAGAUGGAAAUAUUGUUCCCCACAAGGAGAAAAACUGAACUAUAAGCUUGCGAGCAGAGA
rnacentral:misc_RNA from 1 species